rnacentral:lncRNA from 1 species
ACGCCACCUGCAAGCAUGUAGCUGCAGUGCUGUAAAUGGCUGAUGUUUUCUCUAACACUGGAGAAAUUUCAAUACAGAAAUCAUGUACAGAAGGUUUACCGACUUUUCAACAACCAAAGACAUAUUACAAUGGUAACUUCUUUUAACUGAGUGUCCUGUAAAAGCUAUGUAUUUCAACCAAAGAAUUGAGAGAAUAAACAAGUUUCAUUUCUUUAUAUGCUUAUGUCCCUCCGUAAAGCAACAGUACAAGACGUUUUACGUCAUUAUUGUUCUAAAAAGUUAAACAUAUAUGGAAUAAAAUUGAGAAUGGAAAUGGGGAAUGUGCCAAAGAGACAAGAACCCGAUCAUAGAAAAAAACAACAACAGAAGGUCACCAACAGGUCUUCAAUGUAGCGAGAAAUUCCCGCACCCGGAGGCGUCCUUCAUCUGGCCCCUAAAAAAUAUAUACUAGUUCAGUGAUAAUGACGCCAUACUAAUUUCCAAAUGUACACAAGAAACUAAAAUUAAAAUAAUACAAGACUAACAAAGGCCAGAGGCUCCUGACUUGGGACAGGCGCAAAAAUGCGGCGAGGUUAAACAUGUUUGUGAGAUCUCAACCCUCCCCCUAUGGAAACAUGUCAAGGUUCAAAAAAAAAUCUCCGCCUGGCCUUUAACUAGAGUUUUUGUCUCUUGUAAUGGUUCAUUUUUCUUUAUUUAAUGUUUCAGGUGCUCCAGUGAAAAUUGAAACAUUAGCUAAAAGAAAACCAACUGAAAUAUUGGAGGACCCACGACCACCGAAAUACAGAAAUAUGGAAGGGUUUACAGACCAUGUCAGAAACACCAUGAUUAACUUCUGCUCUCAAUCAUCUCAAGACCUUACACUGAGAUAUAUUUUUCCUGCAGCUGAUAUACAG